rnacentral:rRNA from 1 species
GACGAACGCUGGCGGCGUGCUUAACACAUGCAAGUCGAGCGGAAAGGCCCUUUGGGGUACUCGAGCGGCGAACGGGUGAGUAACACGUGAGUAACCUGCCCUAGGCUUUGGGAUAACCCUCGGAAACGGGGGCUAAUACCGGAUAGGACUUCCUGCCGCAUGGUGGGGGGUGGAAAGUUUUUCGGCUUGGGAUGGGCUCGCGGCCUAUCAGCUUGUUGGUGGGGUGAUGGCCUACCAAGGCGGUGACGGGUAGCCGGCCUGAGAGGGCGACCGGCCACACUGGGACUGAGACACGGCCCAGACUCCUACGGGAGGCAGCAGUGGGGAAUAUUGCACAAUGGGCGCAAGCCUGAUGCAGCGACGCCGCGUGAGGGAUGACGGCCUUCGGGUUGUAAACCUCUUUCGGCAGGGACGAAGCCUCUUUGGGGGUGACGGUACCUGUAGAAGAAGCGCCGGCCAACUACGUGCCAGCAGCCGCCGUAACAC